CCUACGGGUGGCAGCAGUCGAGGAUUUUUCUCAAUGGGGGAAACCCUGAAGGAGCGACGCCGCGUGAGGGAUGAAGGUCUUCGGAUUGUAAACCUCUGUCAUCUGGGAACUAGUACCGGAAGAGGAAGCAGUGGCUAACUCUGUGCCAGCAGCCGCGGUAAUACAGAGACUGCAAGCGUUGUUCGGAUUCAUUGGGCGUAAAGGGUGCGCAGGCGGUGUGUUAAGUCGGAUGUGAAAUCUCACAGCCUAACUGUGAUAGGUCAUUCGAAACUGGCAUGCUAGAGGACUGGAGAGGAGACUGGAAUGGUCGGUGUAGCGGUGAAAUGCGUAGAGAUCGACUAGAACACCGGUGGCGAAGGCGAGUCUCUGGACAGUCCUGACGCUCAGGCACGAAAGCCAGGGGAGCAAACGGGAUUAGAUACCCUUGUAGUC
rnacentral:rRNA from 1 species